rnacentral:rRNA from 1 species
GCGGCGUGCCUAACACAUGCAAGUCGAGCGAUCUUCUUCGGAAGAGAGCGGCGGACGGGUGAGUAACGCGUGGGUAACCUGCCCUGUACACACGGAUAACAUACCGAAAGGUAUGCUAAUACGAGAUAAUAUACUUUUAUCGCAUGGUAGAAGUAUCAAAGCUCCGGCGGUACAGGAUGGACCCGCGUCUGAUUAGCUAGUUGGUGAGGUAACGGCUCACCAAGGCGACGAUCAGUAGCCGACCUGAGAGGGUGAUCGGCCACAUUGGAACUGAGACACGGUCCAAACUCCUACGGGAGGCAGCAGAAGGG